AGAUUGAACGCUGGCGGCGUGCCUAACACAUGCAAGUCGAGCGGUAACAGGUGUAGCAAUACAUGCUGACCAGCGGCGAACGGGUGAGUAAUGCUUCGGAAUCUACCUUAUGGGUGGGGAAUAACUAGCCGAAAGGUUAGCUAAUACCGCAUACGUCCUACGGGAGAAAGCAGGGGAUCGCAAGACCUUGCGCCAAAAGAUGAGCCGAAGUCGGAUUAGCUAGUUGGUAGGUAACGGCUACCAAGGCGACGAUCCGUAGCUGGUCUGAGAGGACGACCAGCCACACUGGAACUGAGACACGGUCCAGACUCUUACGGGAGGCAGCAGUGGGAAUAGUUGGGCAAUGGGGGAAACCCUGAUCAGCGACGACCGCGUGUGUGAAGAAGGCCUGGCGGGUUGUAAAGCUACUUUUUAGGUGGGAUGAAAGUGU
rnacentral:rRNA from 1 species